rnacentral:ncRNA from 1 species
AAUUUUUUAUGAUUUAGGAAGUUUAAUUUAAAUUUAUUUUACAUAUAAAUUUUAGUAUGAAUUUUUAAUUAUUUUAAUAAUUUUUAAAAAUUAAAUUAUAGUAAUUAAUAUUAAAAAUUUAAGAAAUUAAGAUUUAGUAAUAUUUAAAAUUAUUAACAAAUUUUGUGCCAGCAGUUGCGGUUAAACAAAAAAUAAUUUAAAUUUUAUUAGUAAAUAAUAAAUAUUAAUAUAAAUGAAAUUAAAUAUUAAUUUAUUAGGUGAAAUUUUAAUUUAAUUAAAAUUUUAUUUUGUAAUAUGAUUUAUUAAAUUUUAUAAAAAACUAGAAUUAGAUACUCUAUUAUUAAAAAUUAAAUAAAUAAUACUAAAAUAGUAUGUAAUUAUUUAUAGAAACUUAAAUAAUUUGGCGGUAUUUUAGUUCAUUUAGAGGAAUCUGUUUAAUAAUUGAUAAUCCACGAAUAAAUUUACUUAAUUUAAAAAUUUUGUAUAUCGUUGUUAAAAAAAUAUUUUUUAAUAAAAAUAAUAUUUAAGAAUUUUUAUAAUAAAUUAAUUCAGAUCAAGAUGCAGAUUAUAAUUAAGAAUAUAAUGGAUUACAAUAAGAAAUGAUUAAAUGAAUAAUAUAUUUUAAUAUAUAUUUGAAGGUGGAUUUAAAUGUAAUUUUAUUUAAUUUAUUAAAAUGAUUAAAAAUUGAAAUAUGUACAUAUUGCCCGUCGCUUUCAUUAAUAAAUUGAAAUAAGUCGUAACAAAGUAGAUGUACUGGAAAGUGUUUCUAGAAAGA